AUGAUGCACUUAGACACGCAUAACGAGAAGGGGAAGUUGAUUUUUUUCUCGAGUCGCCGGGCAAAAUAAUUGGUAAUAAUUUGUUUGCUUGAGUCAUGAACUAUGCCGCAAAUAUGUAAACCGGCAUUGGACAGGCCCAUCUGCAUGCCAUUAGGGGAGGAAGACUGGACCCCCGUUUCACCCCCCCCCCCCACACCCCCAACCCCUCCCAGGCAAGUACCCCGUUCUCAUUUUAUUCCCUUUGUUGAUAUACUCGUUUGAAAUCUGCACUGAGAAUGACCUGCCGCCUCUGCGAUUGUCUUCUGUAUCGUCCUCACGUCAUAAAGGGAGAAUUGAUCCCUCGUCUGCCAGCGUGCACGCUGUCAGCGUUUUUGCGCCAGCACAUUUUUGACCAUCACUCAAGCAUCUUUUGAGCAGAUGUUCCCGAAAAGGACCAACAAAGAACCAAAGCGCCUCACAGCCAUCGUGCAGCUUCCAUCGAGUCUUCUUUUGCUCAGCAAACAUCUCCGCGACCUGCGACUCACCCCGACCUGGAACAAACGACUUGACGGAAAUAACCUAGCCCCCUCUCGUGGUUGAAAUCCCAUCCUGCACGAUGGCCGAUUGAGGAGCGCCCCACACACACACAAACGAGCCACAGGAACAGACAGAGGGCCAACUUUAAUCAUACAAGUAAGUCAAAGUGUCUUUAAAUAUGGUAUAAAAAUAAACGCAGAGGGGGG